AACGAACGCUGGCGGCAGGCUUAACACAUGCAAGUCGAACGGGUGCAGCAAUGCAUCAGUGGCAGACGGGUGAGUAACACGUGGGAACCUUCCUAGGGGUACGGAACAACUCAGGGAAACUUGAGCUAAUACCGUAUACGUCCGUGAGGAGAAAGAUUUAUCGCCCUUAGACGGGCCCGCGUCGGAUUAGCUAGUUGGUGGGGUAACGGCCUACCAAGGCGACGAUCCGUAGCUGAUCUUAGAGGAUGAUCAGCCACACUGGGACUGAGACACGGCCCAGACUCCUACGGGAGGCAGCAGUGGGGAAGCUUGGACAAUGGGCGCAAGCCUGAUCCAGCCAUGCCGCGUGAGUGAAGAAGGUCUUCGGAUUGUAAAGCUCUUUUGCCAGGGACGAUAAUGACGGUACCUGGAGAAUAAGCCCCGGCAAACUUCGUGCCAGCCGCCGCGGUAA
rnacentral:rRNA from 1 species